rnacentral:rRNA from 1 species
UACGUAGGGGGCAAGCGUUGUCCGGAAUCAUUGGGCGUAAAGAGCGCGUAGGCGGUCCGGUAAGUCGGUUGUGAAAACUGGGGGCUCAACCCUCAGAGGCCGACCGAUACUGUCGGGCUAGAGUCCGGAAGAGGCGAGUGGAAUUCCUGGUGUAGCGGUGAAAUGCGCAGAUAUCAGGAGGAACACCGGUGGCGAAGGCGGUUCUCUGGGCCUGACCUGACGCUGAGGAGCGAAAGCGUGGGGAGCGAACAGG